AUUGAACGCUGGCGGCAGGCCUAACACAUGCAAGUCGAACGAGUGGCGGACGGGUGAGUAAUGUCUGGGAAACUGCCCGAUGGAGGGGGAUAACUACUGGAAACGGUAGCUAAUACCGCAUACCAUCGGAUGUGCCCAGAUGGGAUUAGCUAGUAGGUGGGGUAACGGCUCACCUAGGCGAAGAUCCCUCGCUGGUCUGAGCGGAGGACCAGCAACACUGGAACUGAUACACGGUACAAACUCCUACGGUAGGCAGAAGUGGGUAAUAUGGCACAAUGGGCGAAAGCCUGAGGCAGCCAUGCCGCGUGUAUGAAGAAGGCCUUCGGGUUGUAAAGUACUGUCAGCGAGGAGGCGUUACUCGCAGAGGAAGCACCGGCUAACUCCGUGCCAGCCGCCGCGGUAAUAC
rnacentral:rRNA from 1 species